GACGAACGCUGGCGGCGUGCUUAACACAUGCAAGUCGAACGGGAAGGCCCUGCUUUUGUGGGGUGCUCGAGUGGCGAACGGGUGAGUAACACGUGAGUAACCUGCCCUUGACUUUGGGAUAACUUCAGGAAACUGGGGCUAAUACCGGAUAGGAGCUCCUGCUGCAUGGUGGGGGUUGGAAAGUUUCGGCGGUUGGGGAUGGACUCGCGGCUUAUCAGCUUGUUGGUGGGGUAGUGGCUUACCAAGGCUUUGACGGGUAGCCGGCCUGAGAGGGUGACCGGCCACAUUGGGACUGAGAUACGGCCCAGACUCCUACGGGAGGCAGCAGUGGGGAAUAUUGCACAAUGGGCGGAAGCCUGAUGCAGCAACGCCGCGUGCGGGAUGACGGCCUUCGGGUUGUAAACCGCUUUCGCCUGUGACGAAGCGUAAGUGACGGUAAUGGGUAAAGAAGCACCGGCUAACUACGUG
rnacentral:rRNA from 1 species